rnacentral:rRNA from 1 species
GACGAACGCUGGCGGCGUACUUAACACAUGCAAGUCGAACGGAAAGGCCCUGCUUGCAGGGUACUCGAGUGGCGAACGGGUGAGUAACACGUGGGUGAUCUGCCCUGCACUUCGGGAUCAGCCUGGGAAACUGGGUCUAAUACCGGAUAGGAGCCAUUUUUAGUGUGAUGGUUGGAAAGUUUUUUCGGUGUAGGAUGAGCUCGCGGCCUAUCAGCUUGUUGGUGGGGUAAUGGCCUAACAAGGUGGCGACGGGUAGCCGGCCUGAGAGGGUGGACGGCCACAUUGGGACUGAGAUACGGCCCAGACUCCUACGGGAGGCAGCAGUGGGGAAUAUUGCACAAUGGGAGCAAGCCUGAUGCAGCGACGCCGCGUGGGGGAUGACGGCCUUCGGGUUGUAAACUCCUUUCGCUAGGGACGAAGCUUUUGUGACGGUACCUAGAUAAGAAGCACCGGCUAACUACGUGCCAGCCGCCGCCGUAA